rnacentral:rRNA from 1 species
AUUGAACGCUGGCGGCAUGCCUUACACAUGCAAGUCGAACGGUAACAGGUUAAGCUGACGAGUGGCGAACGGGUGAGUAAUGUAUCGGAACGUGCCCAGUCGUGGGGGAUAACUACUCGAAAGAGUGGCUAAUACCGCAUACGACCUGAGGGUGAAAGCGGGGGACCGUAAGGCCUCGCGCGAUUGGAGUGGCCGAUAUCAGAUUAGCUAGUUGGUGGGGUAAAAGCCCACCAAGGCGACGAUCUGUAGCUGGUCUGAGAGGACGACCAGCCACACUGGGACUGGGACACGGCCCAGACUCCUACGGGAGGCAGCAGUGGGGAAUUUUGGACAAUGGACGCAAGUCUGAUCCAGCCAUGCCGCGUGCGGGAAGAAGGCCUUCGGGUUGUAAACCGCUUUUGUCAGGGAAGAAACGAGUUUCUCUAAUACAGAGACUUAAUGACGGUACCUGAAGAAUAAGCACCGGCUAACUACGUGCCAGCAGCCGCAGUAACAC